rnacentral:rRNA from 1 species
UACGGGGGGUGCAAGCGUUGUCCGGAAUCAUUGGGCGUAAAGAGUUCGUAGGCGGCACGUAAAGUCUGGUGUUAAAGGCAGAGGCUCAACUUCUGUACGGCACUGGAUACUUGCGAGCUAGAAUGCGGUAGAGGUAAAGGGAAUUCCUGGUGUAGCGGUGAAAUGCUUAGAUAUCACGCAGAACUCCGAUUGCGAAGGCAGCAUACCGGCGCGCAACUGACGCUCAUGCACGAAAGCGUGGGUAUCGAACAGG